GCUAUCCCUUAGCUAGAGAUUCCCAUGCAUGUAAUUACUCUGUUUUGCUUUUUUGUAUUGUAUGCAUGCAGCAACUAUAUUGUUUGCAAUAAAGCACUUUACAUUCGUCAUUUUUGAAUUUCAUAUGAAAAUAUUAAGCGUAGUAUUUGGAUUUAAAGAAUGAACGUAGUUGCAAAAGCUUAUUCUGUUGGAGAUGGCCCAAGAUACAUAUCGAGCACCAAGACUCUUAACAACCUCCUUUGUGUGCUAGCACGCCCAUCACUGUGUGUAACCUGUAACCAAAGCAGAACCAAACGCCUGAAAUAAGAGCCUGACAAAUACUUUUUACCAGAAGACGAUGCCAAUAUAGCUGGUCAGGUGGCAUGGAGGAAAAUGAUCUAUAUGCAUGACCCAAACUAGUUUGGGAUUAAGACGUAA
rnacentral:misc_RNA from 1 species